rnacentral:rRNA from 1 species
GACGAACGCUGGCGGCGUGCCUAAUACAUGCAAGUCGCACGAGUGGCGGACGGGUGAGUAACACGUGGGUAACUACCCAUCAGAGGGGGAUAACAGUUGGAAACGAAUGCUAAUACCGCAUACGAUUGGAUUGCCAAGGUGGGAUUAGCUAGUUGGUGAGGUAGUGGCUCACCAAGGCGACGAUCCCUAGCUGGUCUGCGAGGAUGAUCAGCCACACUGGAACGUAGACACGGUCCAGACUCCUACGGGAGGCAGCAGUGGGGAAUAUUGCACAAUGGGGGAAACCCUGAUGCAGCCAUGCCGCGUGUGUGAAGAAGGCCUUCGGGUUGUAAAGCACUUUCAGCGAGGAGGCGUUACUCGCAGAAGAAGCACCGGCUAACUCCGUGCCAGCAGCCGCGGUAAUUC